UCGGACUGGAGUCUGCAACCCGACUCCACGAAGUUGGAUUCGCUAGUAAUCGCGCAUCAGCCAUGGCGCGGUGAAUACGUUCCCGGGCCUUGUACACACCGCCCGUCAAGCCAUGGGAGCCGGGGGCGCCUGAAGUCCGGGACCGCGAGGACCGGCCUAGGGCGAAACUGGUAACUGGGGCUAAGUCGUAACAAGGUAAC
rnacentral:rRNA from 1 species